AUGCUUGAGGGGGUUUGGGAGUCGCUCCCAUAUGACCAGAAGAAAACCCUUCCGGUCAAUGAGGAACAAAAACCUCAUUGACCAGAAGGGAUUUCCUUCCGGUCAAUCCUUCCAGUUGAUGAGGUUGUUGUUUCUUAUUGACUGGAAGGAAAUCCUUCUGGUCAUGUGGGAUCAACUCCCAAACCCCCACGAGCAU
rnacentral:miRNA from 1 species